CAUGCGCACUUAAGUCGAUCUCAAGUGACGUAGUUUUUUUGCGUCGUAGCUGUACGUAACAUAUGUUCAAGUAUCCCUCCAGUAAACCCUUCAAAUGUUGUUCUUACGUUGCGCAUGCAAGCUGGGGGCAAAAGACUUCCCACAAUAAUUGUAGAUCGAGUCUCGAUCUUUAAACCAUCUUCAACAUCGCCUCUACACUGCAAGAAGUGAUGAUCACCUUAAUUAACUACAUCAGGUUACUAUGAAGAUUUCAGACAAAUCAUCAAACAAGCAGGACGUGCUUCAUCUGGUGCGCCUGGUGGUUAGGAAGUGGAGUUUGUAAAGCCACUGAAAAAAUCUCGAGUAUCCAUCUGCUUGAUUGCUUUCAGAAAUCCUCUACAGACUCCAUGCGGUCACCUCAUGUGCAAAAGCUGCGUGGACAAAAUCACAAAUUUAAAUGUCCACUGGAUAACAAGGUGAAGAAGAGAAGUGAGGCUUUUUUGGAUAAAAUUCAUGAACGUAAAGCUCUUGGCCUUGAAGUAAAGUGCAAGAAUCAUGGAGAUGGAUGUACAUGGAUUGGGGAGUUGAGUGAUCUGCAGAUGAAGAAGAGAGAUGUUGGUGAUCAUGAAGACAAGUGCAACAAAGAGAAUAUUCGUUUGCUCCUAAAGAAAGUUGAUGAUCUCAAUGCCUGGCUUCAACGUCAACCUUCUGAAUCCUGCAAGUUCAUGUGGAGUAUAGAAAACUGGAGCAAACCCUUGAAAAUGCCAAAAUGGAAACACCAGAUUUGUUUAGCAGUGCCUUCUACACAGGUUAUCUGGGAUACAAAUUAUGCAUGUGUGUCGACCCGGAUCAGGGAGAAGGUCAUGUGGGUGUGUAUCUAAUCAUCAUGAGAGUGGCCGUUUUCGUAUUUCUAUAUACUAUCUGUCGUUGACCAGCAGCCUGAUGGAAAUGAUAUGAGCUGGCUUAUGGAUUCAACAAAGCUCAAUGGACAGGAGCUCAAGUGGUUUAUGAGAAAAACUGAUCAAAACUUGUCAGGAUGGGGGACUGGUAAUCUUAUUAGUCACUUGGAUUUGACAAAGCAGGCUUACAUCAGAGAUAACUCUCUCUCCUUGUAAGUGCAGAAAUUCUGAUAAGAAAUUCUGAUCAGAAAAUGAGACUUCAAUAUUAUUGAUAUUCUAUCAUCGGCUCACUGCAAGUGUGUAGUUCUUAAUUGUUAUACCACAAACUUGAGUGGUGCAUAGUUUUUAUGUGCUAGACUAGUCUCUUAAUUGCUACACAUGCUUUUUCAUGGGUACAGUAUAUGUCAAUAGCGUUAUUGUGUGCAGAUUGUUUCCUAGCUGUAAUGUGGAGAGUUGCUGCUGAGAUACUAACUACUACGUAUACUGACUGCGUUCAGUUUGUGCAAUAUGUUCUACUUGAUUGUCAUGUUUUGAAAAGUAUAUUCAUUGCCACAUACUCUCGUGACUGUUCUUCAGCUUGUUCAGCUUCUACAGCACAGCUGAGGAACAGCUAGCUGGCAGGCACACUUGAUCAAACUGAAAUCAAGAACGAUCAGAGCUCCAAGUCAACCUUAAGCCGCUCCCAAUCACCAGCCAUUGGUCUUGACUAUCAGUCAUCCAUAUAUCGAGCACAAACAGCAA